UGGCUCAGAACGAACGCUGGCCGCGUGCUUAACACAUGCAAGUCGAGCGGAAAGGCCCACUUGUGGGUACUCGAGCGGCCAACGGGUGAGUAACACGUGAGUAAUCUGCCCUUCACUCUGGGAUAACGUUCAGAAAUGGGUGCUAAUACCGGAUGUACACAUGGUCUCGCAUGGGGUUGUGUGGAAAGGUUUUUCUGGUGGGGGAUGUGCUCGCGGCCUAUCAGCUUGUUGGUGGGGUAAUGGCCUACCAAGGCCUUGACGGGUAGCCGGCCUGAGAGGGUGACCGGCCACACUGGGACUGAGACACGGCCCAGACUCCUACGGGAGGCAGCAGUGGG
rnacentral:rRNA from 1 species